rnacentral:rRNA from 1 species
CGUAGCCGCGGUAAUACGAAGGGUGCAAGCGUUAAUCGGAAUUACUGGGCGUAAAGCGUGCGUAGGCGGUGAGUUAAGUCUGCUGUGAAAUCCCCGGGCUCAACCUGGGAAUGGCAGUGGAUACUGGCUCGCUAGAGUGUGUCAGAGGAUGGUGGAAUUCCCGGUGUAGCGGUGAAAUGCGUAGAGAUCGGGAGGAACAUCAGUGGCGAAGGCGGCCAUCUGGGACAACACUGACGCUGAGGCACGAAAGCGUGGGGAGCAAACAGGAUUAGAUACCCGCGUAGUCCCUGUCUCUUAUACA